rnacentral:rRNA from 1 species
CCUACGGGUGGCAGCAGUGAGGAAUAUUGGUCAAUGGACGAGAGUCUGAACCAGCGCCGUAGCGUGAAGGAUGACUGCCCUAUGGGUUGUAAACUUCUUUUAUAAAGGAAUAAAACGAGGCACGUGUGCCUUUUUGCAUGUACUUUAUGAAUACGGAUCGGCUAACUCCGUACCAGCAGCCUCUGUAAUACGGAGGAUCCGAGCGUUAUCCGGAUUUAUUGGGUUUAAAGGGAGCGUAGAUGGGUUGGUAAGUCAGUUGUGAAAGUUUGCGGCUCAACCGUAAAAUUGCAAUUGAUACUGGCAGUCUGGAGUACAGUUGAGGUAGGCGGAAUUCGUGGUGUAGCGGUGAAAUGCGUAGAUAUCACGAAGAACCCCGAUUGCGAAGGCAGCUUACUAAACUGUGACUGACAUUGAUGCUCGAAAGUGUGGGUAGCAAACAGGAUUAGAUACCCCUGUAGUC